UAAUGCAAACACCUAAAAUGACUGGAUCAACAAAUGAAAUUAAUUAUCAUUAAUUCCAUUUCUUGAUCCAAAGUCAUUUUAGGUGUUUGCAU
rnacentral:pre_miRNA from 1 species